GAUGAUAUAGGGGAGAUGCUGCCCAAAUUUUCGUAACCCAAUUAGUCUUCCAUAAUUAGUGCUUAUAAGUUGAUGGAAAUAUGAUGAAAGUAUGAUUAAAGAUAUAUUUCUCAAUAUAUAGGCUCGGGUGAAGGGCAAGCAUCAGUGUAAGGAAUUCUUUAAGCGGUGGCUUGACGGAUAAGACACUGCAUUUCGUGUUGUAGGCUCCGACAGAGUUAUCGAGGAGCAACUGCAGUAGGAUUUUCCAGCUUCAGCGGUGUUAGCAAGUGCCACUACUCCGGGCUUGCUAUCUUUUGGUACUUUUCUGUUAGUAUAAUGUAUGUUCAUAUGUAUACUCUUAGAGGCUCAUGGACAUAGUGGGAUAUGUAAAUAUUAUGUAUGGCCUUGUCAGCCUUGUUUUAGGUUCUUGAUAUUUUUCUGAUAGCCUUGUCGGCUUUAUGAUAUACGUUAUGUUGUGGCGAUCUUGUCGGUCCGCAUAUGUACAUAUGUGUUGAAUUAUCGGAGAUUUCUAUGUUGGGCCUUUUCUGCGUGCA